UACAGAGGUCUCGAGCGUUGUUCGGAUUCAUUGGGCGUAAAGGGUGCGUAGGUGGUCUGGUAAGUCGGAUGUGAAAUCCCGGAGCUUAACUUCGGAACUGCAUUCGAUACUGCCGGACUGGAGUACUGGAGAGGAGAUCGGAAUUUACGGUGUAGCAGUGAAAUGCGUAGAUAUCGUAAGGAAGACCAGUGGCGAAGGGCGGAUCUCUGGACAGUUACUGACACUGAGGCACGAAGGCCAGGGGAGCAAACGGG
rnacentral:rRNA from 1 species